rnacentral:rRNA from 1 species
GGCGUAGGCGGUAGUGUAAGUCAGAUGUGAAAGCCCGGGGCUCAACCCCGGAAUUGCAUUUGAAACUACACUUCUAGAGGAUAGGCGGAGAAAACGGAAUUCCGCAUGUAGCGGUGAAAUGCGUAGAUAUGCGGAAGAACACCGGUGGCGAAGGCGGUUUUCUAGCUUAUUCCUGACGCUGAGGCCCGAAAGCUAGGGGAGCGAACA